GAGGAUCCUGCAAGUGAGAGACACACUCCUCUUAGGCUGAAGCAGAAAGACCCAGAGGAGCCAGGAAGUAGUGAAGUCACUGGAGAGUGCCCAAACUUGGUGGAAACAGUACUCAAAGACUGCAGGGGACUGCCGGCCCUGUCUGUAACCACUGGAGCGGCCUGGCAGAGCCAGAAGUUAAAGGGCCUGCUUUCUUCUUCCGGUCACAGCUCUACCACAAACAAGUACGCACGGCUAAGGAGUACAUCCACAGACAGAGUACCCCCACAUAGAGAUAACUACAUAAUGCCUGCUUAAAAGAAUAGCAUCCUUUCACAGGUCUCCUGGGCUGUCCUCCAGAUAUGUAUCACAAGGAUUUUAUCCUCAGCUUCUUGCUUCCCUGCAGGCCUGGGCAUGCGCUGAAGCCAUCCCAAGAUCAACACAGCCAGGGGUAAGAUACUAAAUGUGAAAUUCUGCAGACUCAAGCUUUGCCUCCCGCUGGAAAAGGACCUGGGUCACAGUGUCUGAGUCUGUAUACGCUGCCACCAAAGGCUGACUUACACAAUUGUUCUGAUCGCAGUUUUGAACCUGAUGUCUGCGCCACCUUACCUGCCGCAUACUUUGAAGACUAGGGUUGCACCUUCUGCGAGGGCAGAGGAAUCCUGUCACUGACAGACCACCUUCGAAUCCCUCGCUUGGUGAAGUGUGACUUCUAAGUGCUAGACCAGCUUCUAAGAACAGCCUACUUUCUACUUGCAGCUGAAAACGAAGGUUGUGUGCUAUCGUGAAUCGGAUAUUAGUCGUUAACGAGACGCUCCUUGAUAGGAGGUGGCUGUCCUUGGCCAUGUGCUUCCUGAAGCCUUGAAGAAAAGCCACAGCAUUUCCUGCUGGUGCCGCUCCUGGGGUGGCAUCACCAGGCUUUGUUGCACCUCAUACUGGAUACGUGACCACGGUUGCCAGCUUCUCUCUCCGUGUCAUUAUCAUGGAACCUACAUGCUGUGACCACUGUGAUUUCUGACCGGCUAUCACUCAGCCUGCUCAGGCAUUGACUAUUUUUAGGCAGAAGGUCUAGUCCCCGCUUUUAUUCCCACAGCCGGCUUCUAUUUUAAUGCUCCAUUUGGCUCCAGGAACCAAACCAUAGCCGUGGAAUUCCCACAGGGCGUUAACAGAAAGCAAAACCUCCUCCCACUUUGGAAUUAAUGAACCCCUCUCGCUGUCAGCCAUGCUUUAAUGGAUUUCACCAGUCUCUGGAUUUCCACACCCAGAACAGAAAGUCAUACAAAGGAGCUCUCAGCAGUUCUAAGGGACCCACCACAUCAGACAGGCAUUCACAAGGCAGAAGAAGGUGGAAUGUGGCUAUUGAUAUGAGCUAUGGCCCUGCUCAAUUAAGUACACAGAAAGCA
rnacentral:lncRNA from 1 species